rnacentral:rRNA from 1 species
UACGUAGGGAGCGAGCGUUAUCCGGAAUUAUUGGGUGUAAAGGGUGCGUAGACGGGAAGACAAGUUGGUUGUGAAAUCCCUCGGCUUAACUGAGGAACUGCAACCAAAACUAUCAUUCUUGAGUACUGGAGAGGAAAGUGGAAUUCCUAGUGUAGCGGUGAAAUGCGUAGAUAUUAGGAGGAACACCAGUGGCGAAGGCGACUUUCUGGACAGAAACUGACGUUGAGGCACGAAAGUGUGGGGAGCAAACAGG